rnacentral:tRNA from 2 species
AGUUUAAUUUAUCAUUAAAAACGCAGGAUUCAAAAUCCAGUGUCUUCGGACGUGCGGGUUCGAUUCCCGCC